GAUGAAGAACGCAGCGAAAUGCGAUACGUAAUGUGAAUUGCAGAAUUCAGUGAAUCAUCGAGUCUUUGAACGCACAUUGCGCCCCCUGGUAUUCCGGGGGGCAUGCCUGUCCGAGCGUCAUUGCUGCCCUCAAGCACGGCUUGUGUGUUGGGCCUCCGUCCUCCUCCCGGGGGACGGGCCCGAAAGGCAGCGGCGGCACCGCGUCCGGUCCUCGAGCGUAUGGGGCUUCGUCACCCGCUCUUGUAGGCCCGGCCGGCGCUUGCCGACACAUCAAUCUUUUUUCCAGGUUGACCUCGGAUCCGGUAGGGAUACCCGCUGAACUUAAGCAUAUCAAUAAGCGGAGGA
rnacentral:misc_RNA from 1 species